UACGGAGGGGGCUAGCGUUGUUCGGAAUUACUGGGCGUAAAGCGCGCGUAGGCGGACCUGCAAGUCGGGGGGUGAAAGCCCGAGGCUCAACCUCGGAACUGCCUUCGAUACUGCGGGUCUCGAGUCCGGGAGAGGUGAGUGGAAUUCCUAGUGUAGAGGUGAAAUUCGUAGAUAUUAGGAAGAACACCAGUGGCGAAGGCGGCU
rnacentral:rRNA from 1 species